CCGCAUCAGCCGCAACGCCAAGCAAACGCCCCGGACGGAACCCGAACCCACACCACACCGGCACACCCAAAUCUCCCUCCCUCGCCGUGCACGCGCAGGCGCAGAGCGCAUCGACGACGGCGCGGGCGCCAUGAUCGUGCGCACGUACGGGCGCAGAUCCCGCUCCUUCUCCGACGGCGGGGGCGGGGUCUCGUCCUCGCAGGACGCGUUCGACUUCGACGCCGACGACGACGUGCUGGGGUCGUCGGCCUCGCAGCCGCUCCCGAUCCCGCCGUCGCAGGAGUCCUCCUCGAUGUGGGAAUUCGACGAGGACCCACCCCCGCUGCCGCCGCAGCCCCGGCAGGAGGCGAGGCGGCGCGGGCGGGGCGGGGCGAGAAGAGGAGGGUGGGAGCUCGCGGAGCCCCCCGCGGCGGCGCCGACGCCGACGCUGAUGGAGGCGGAAGAGUACGGGGAGAUGAUGGAGAGCGUAGACGAGGUCACGUUCGCGCUCGACGGCCUCCGCCCCGCCGCGCAGAGGCGGACGCGACGGGUCAGCCUGCUCGCGCUGCUUGGGAUCUGCGCCUCCGCCGAGCGCCGCCGCGUGCUCCGUGUCCAGGGAUUACUACAGCAAAUUAUCGAUGCUAUUUUGGUUCUGGACAUUGAUGAUCCUCCCUGCGCUACUGCUGCAGGAGCUCUUUUAUUUGUUUUGGCAAGCGAUGUCCAAGACAAUAACUUGCUGGAUUCAGAAUCUUGUGUUCAUUUCCUUCUAAAAUUAUUAAACCCUCCGGUGAAUGUAGUUGAUGCCAAAGCGCCAUCAAUAGGUUCCAAACUUCUUGGAAUUAGUAAAUUUCAAAUGCUUAAUGGUGCAAAUAAAGAUGGUGACUCUAGUUCGGAGGACGUACUUUCCAAAGUUGAAGAAAUCCUCUUAAGCUGCAAAGAGAUCAAGCCACUAGACAGGGAUGACAGGAGAACAGCAAGGCCAGAAUUGUGUUCGAAGUGGCUCGCUUUGUUGACAAUGGAAAAGGCUUGCUUGUCUGCUGUUGCAUUAGAGGAGACAUCUGACAUGGUGACCAGAAUUGGGGGAAAUUUCAAAGAAACAUUAAGGCAGUCAGGUGGACUUGAUAAUAUCUUUAAUGUUAUGGUGAAUUGUCAUUCAGAACUGGUGAGACUUGUAAAGGAUACCUCCACUACGUCUGUGGACCUAAAGGAAGGAACACCUUUGCAAAGUGCUGCACUCCUCUUGAAAUGUUUCAAAAUUUUGGAGAAUGCCACAAUUCUAAGCGACAAUAACAAGACCCAUUUGCUCUGCAUGAGUCGUAAAUUGAGCCCUAAGUGCUCCUCACUUCCUUUUAUUGGUGUUGUUCUCAAUACUAUUGAAUUACUAUCAGCUCUUUCUCUCCUUCAGAACAGUUCCAGAAAAGCAGAUCCGAAAUCUUCGAAAGUACCCAAUGGGGGCUGCUCUGGUAAUAAAGCAGACAGUAGAGGUGCAAAUUUAUUGAAUCGUCAUGGCAAGUGCAAGAAUUCAGCAGAAAAAAGCCUUUUGCUGAAUCAAAGGCGCCAAAAUUGCCCGUCCUCCAAAUCUGAAAUUUCUCAUAUUACUAUCUCUUCUAGUAGUGAUGUCUGUGAGUCACAAAGGACGCUAGAUUGUUCUCCCUCAAUUUCGAGCAAUGGGGCAUCAAGUGAAUCAUUUGUCGAGAAACACAGCAACGGUGUUUGUUUGAAGUUCAAUGUAAGAAAGGAUCGUUCUAAAGCUAAUCCGAUCAGAGGCUCAACUGGUUGGAUUUCUAUAAAAGCACAGACUUCUGGUGGGAACUCCAGAGAAAUGGCAAAAAAGCGCCGUCUAUCUGAAAAUACAGAUACAGAUUUGGGCAAUGGUGGUGAUGAUCCGUUUGCAUUUGAUGAUGUUGAUCAAGAACAUUCAAAUUGGGAUAUGUUUGAUCCAAAAAGGAAAUCACCACCGAAGCGAGCAAAACGAGCUAAUGGAAAAGUGCUUCAUGAAUGUGGGACUGCAGCAAUUGUAAGUCCCGAAUCUUCUCAACCUGAUGAUAUUUAUGAGUCAGGUACAACAUCUGAUUCCAUGACUGAAGAUGAGUCCAGUCUUUUGGAAGAUUGCCUUUUGGCAUCUGUUAAGGUUCUUAUGAACUUGGCAAAUGACAACCCAUCUGGUUGCGAACAGAUUGCGUCUUGUGGUGGAAUUAAUACCAUGGCCUCCUUGAUCAUUAAGCAUUUCCCGUCAUUUGAUUUUUCCUUGAACAAGAACAAUCAACGGAAAGAAAGAGUGUCCUCUGGUCAAGAUGUCAAUAAUCAAAACCUGUCGUCUUCCCAGAACAGCAAGGCACAACAACUCAAAACUAAGCAAUUGCGAGACCAUGAACUUGAUUUUCUGGUUGCUAUAUUGGGAUUGAUUGUCAACCUUGUGGAGAAAGAUAGCCUUAAUAGGCGCAUUUCUAUACUUACUCUAGUCAAUGUCUGUAAGUCUAAAUGUACCUGGCUACAGGAUACGGCUUGCGAAUGCCCGUGUUUCUGUCAACACAUCUCAAAAUCCAGAUAGUGAAGAGGUACAGAGGGAUGUCAUACCCCUGCUCUGUUCAAUAUUCUUAGGGAGUCAAAGUUCAGGGGAAACUGCUGAAGCUAUAUCACCGGAUGAUGAAGAAUCUUUGUUGCAAGGAGCGCGAGAAGCUGAAAUGAUGAUUGUGGAGGCCUAUGCAGCACUUGUGCUUGCUUUUCUUUCAACGGAAAGUAUGAAGGUUAGAGAAGCCAUUACCAGUUGCCUUCCGGACAACAGCUUGAAGAUUCUUGUUCCUGUGCUUGAGAAAUUUGUGACAUUUCAUCUGCAGCUCAACAUGAUGUCGCAGGAGACAUAUUCAUCCGUCACUGAAGUCAUCGAAAGAUGCAGAUCAUCAUAGAAGUGUGAAGAGGCCGCCUGUACAGAUUAACUGGCCUCUUUGCAGCCAAAGCGCACACAGGUGUUGCUCAUCACCUGGCCGGGGCACGGUAGGUGGACACCGGAGGCUGACCUGCAGUGUGUUUUUGGGAGCUAACAGUGAUUUGAUUCUUUCCUUUGUGUCCUGCUGUUGUUUUGAUCCUGUUUUUAGUUCCCUGUUCACCUCCCUCCAAAUGUUGUUUCUCAUAUCGUAGGAAUAGCGCAUAUGCUGAGUGUAUAAUAACAGCAUGGGGAAUGUAAUUUGUCUGUUUCGUGUCCUGCCUAGCCAUACAGUUUGUACUUUUGUCACAUGCAAUCUGUGACCACACAAGCCUGAUCUAGAAAUCAGAACGUAUCUCAUGAUAGCCGUGCAGUUUUAGUUU